CGGCACGUGCUCUACCGAUUGAUGGCUCAGUGAGGCCUUGGGAUUGGCUUAGGAGGGUUGGCAACGACCCCCCAGAGCCGAAAACUUGGUCAAACUCGGUCAUUUAGAGGAAGUAAAAGUCGUAACAAGGUUUCCGUAGGUGAACCUGCGGAAGGAUCAUUACCGAGUGAGGGCCCUUUGGGUCCAACCUCCCACCCGUGUUUAUUUUACCUUGUUGCUUCGGCGGGCCCGCCUUUACUGGCCGCCGGGGGGCUCACGCCCCCGGGCCCGCGCCCGCCGAAGACACCCCCGAACUCUGUCUGAAGAUUGAAGUCUGAGUGAAAAUAUAAAUUAUUUAAAACUUUCAACAACGGAUCUCUUGGUUCCGGCAUCGAUGAAGAACGCAGCGAAAUGCGAUACGUAAUGUGAAUUGCAAAUUCAGUGAAUCAUCGAGUCUUUGAACGCACAUUGCGCCCCCUGGUAUUCCGGGGGGCAUGCCUGUCCGAGCGUCAUUGCUGCCCUCAAGCCCGGCUUGUGUGUUGGGCCCCGUCCUCCGAUUCCGGGGGACGGGCCCGAAAGGCAGCGGCGGCACCGCGUCCGGUCCUCGAGCGUAUGGGGCUUUGUCACCCGCUCUGUAGGCCCGGCCGGCGCUUGCCGAUCAACCCAAAUUUUUAUCCAGGUUGACCUCGGAUCAGGUAGGGAUACCCGCUGAACUUAAGCAUAUCAAUAAGCGGAGGAAAAGAAACCAACAGGGAUUGCCCCAGUAACGGCGAGUGAAGCGGCAAGAGCUCAAAUUUGAAAGCUGGCUCCUUCGGGGUCCGCAUUGUAAUUUGCAGAGGAUGCUUCGGGAGCGGUCCCCAUCUAAGUGCCCUGGAACGGGACGUCAUAGAGGGUGAGAAUCCCGUAUGGGAUGGGGUGUCCGCGCCCGUGUGAAGCUCCUUCGACGAGUCGAGUUUUUGUGGGGAAUGCAA
rnacentral:rRNA from 1 species